rnacentral:rRNA from 1 species
GUACACUCCUACGGGAGGCAGCAGUGGGGAAUAUUGGACAAUGGGCGCAAGCCUGAUCCAGCCAUGCCGCGUGAGUGAUGAAGGCCCUAGGGUUGUAAAGCUCUUUCACCGGUGAAGAUAAUGACGGUAACCGGAUAAGAAGCCCCGGCUAACUUCGUGCCAGCAGCCGCGGUAAUACGAAGGGGGCUAGCGUUGUUCGGAUUUACUGGGCGUAAAGCGCACGUAGGCGGACUAUUAAGUCAGGGGUGAAAUCCCGGGGCUCAACCCCGGAACUGCCUUUGAUACUGGUAGUCUUGAGUUCGAGAGAGGUGAGUGGAAUUCCGAGUGUAGAGGUGAAAUUCGUAGAUAUUCGGAGGAACACCAGUGGCGAAGGCGGCUCACUGGCUCGAUACUGACGCUGAGGUGCGAAAGCGUGGGGAGCAAACAGGAUUAGAUACCCCAGUAGUCCCAU